rnacentral:lncRNA from 1 species
AAUUUUUAAAUGAUUUGUUUCUCACUUGGAGAGGUGUUAAAUUACCUUGGUUUAUUCGAUAUGUUAAAUUACAUGGGAUGCAAUGUCAAAUAAGACGUGAUGAUAAAUUUUAGGUUAUAUGUGUAUAGAUAUAUGUCACUAAAAUAAGUAUUACAGAAAUUGUUUGAAGUUCGUAGAAAUUUGUCAAUACUCUUGCUGCCAAGUUGCUAUCAUAACUUUUAUAUGCUACAGAAAUAACUACACUUCUUUAUCAAAUGAGCUUUCUUCAGAUCUCAAUUGCAGCCAUUUUUUUGUGUUUGUCACUCGCAGACAGUUAAUGUUUUACUCUGAUACUUUUGCACUAGUGCUUCAUCUUCAGAGAGAUUCACGGAAAGGACUCUGACAAGUACUCUAGAAUACAGGUUUCUGACAACUUUAAUAUCAUAACAAUGAAAUGGCCAUCUUCAGUACAUCAUAUGGUCACACUCUGCUUGGAGAAACAGAAACAAGAUGAACAAGGAGAUGAACAGCAAAAACAGUUCUUCCAUGAACCUGACAUCAUAACCUACAAGUUUCACAAUGAAACAAGAACAGCUUAAAACUGAUGGUGACUGAGUGGUGCUAAUGCCAAAUUUUUGGUCAAUAUCUCAUAUUCAAGAGGAUAAUCAGAGGAGAGAAUUGUUAAAUUAACUAAACAAGGAAACCAUUAAACUGAGUGACUGCAAUGCCUUAGUGGUCCAUGUAAGCAAACCAAAAUCUAAGCCUGUAAAUGCAUCAGUGUUACAAAAUCAAAACCUAAGGACAACUAAUCACAAAAAACCAACUAAGCUUUACACUACAGCCAAUAAAAUAAUUUCUUUGUUUGCACUCCUUCUCUAUAUAAGUUAUUCCCCUAGCUUAUGUUGGUAGAAUGCUUCUAACCACUUUUGAUUUUCUGCUGCCCAAAUCGAAUUAAUUUUUGCUCAGAUAAACAUACCUCAGUUUAUCUGUAAUAGCCAAAAACUGGAAUCAGCCCAGAUGUCUCUCAUAGCAGAGUGAUUAAACAACUCUGGUACCUCCCUUCCAGAGAAUACUACUCAGUAAUAAAA